rnacentral:rRNA from 1 species
GCAAGUGGAACGCACAGAUGAUACGUAGCUUGCUACAAUUAUCUGUGAGUCGCGAACGGGUGAGUAACGCGUAGGUAACCUAGCUUAUAGCGGGGGAUAACUAUUGGAAACGAUAGCUAAUACCGCAUAAAAGUGGUUGACCCAUGUUAACCAUUUAAAAGGAGCAACAGCUCCACUAUGAGAUGGACCUGCGUUGUAUUAGCUAGUUGGUAGGGUAAAGGCCUACCAAGGCGACGAUACAUAGCCGACCUGAGAGGGUGAACGGCCACACUGGGACUGAGACACGGCCCAGACUCCUACGGGAGGCAGCAGUAGGGAAUCUUCGGCAAUGGGGGGAACCCUGACCGAGCAACGCCGCGUGAGUGAAGAAGGUUUUCGGAUCGUAAAGCUCUGUUGUUAGAGAAGAACAGUGAUGGGAGUGGAAAGUCCAUCAUGUGACGGUAACUAACCAGAAAGGGACGGCUAACUACGUGCCAGCAGCCGCGGUAAA